UACUCAGUAUGGUGUAGAGAUUUACUAGACCUUGUGGUUAUGUCAUGAAAUGACAUAGCUAUUAUUUCUGAUACACAUUCUCCUGGUUUAUUUUUCACGGAUUCCUAUCACAUAAGUGAAGAUAAGUGUAAUGUAUAAGCGAUUGCUAUCUGUCUUGAACAUUAGGAGUAGAGCUAAAGGGCAGUCUAAUUCUUGAUGAUAUCAGUUUUGGAUGUGCUGGUUCGACAUAUUUGCAUUAUUCGUUGUUAACUAGCACAUCAUUUUGCUGAAUGACAGGUGUGCCUAAAUUACUGCACCUUUUAUAACAGGCAAAUAUGCCUAAGCAAUACCUACCACUAAUGGCAGCGCCACUUGUUGUGCACAGCUUAAGGACAUUCUGUCAAAUGAAGGAAGUCGUAGUGGUGUGUGACCCAUCCUACACAAAUAUAUUUGAAGGUUCAAAUGAAACCUUGCAAAUACCUGUUGAAUUUACAUGACUGGGAAAAGAGAGACAAAACUCUAUUUUUAACGGACUUCAGCUGGCAUGGGCUCGGGAGCAUGCCAAUCGGCGGGGGCAAUGCGUCUGUUUGGGAAACUAUUGGAUGUAUAACUAAUUACAGGUUGUUCUUUCAGUCUCUGCAUUCGCAGUAGUGUUGUAUUGACACAUUGGUAUGUUGUCAGGAGGAAGAUCAUGGGUGGUAUUCGAGAGUUCGCUGAUUUCAACCCUCAGCAGGUUAUAGAUAUUGAAAUGCAUGAAUUUAAUUUCUAUGAUGCUACGAGAGAAAGGCAUGUUCACCUCCCUGAAAUUUAAGUUGCAAAUACUGCAAGGCCUCCCUGUAUAUGCAUGACAAUGGAUAUUUCCAUCAUCACCUCAAACUAUAAUGUCUUCUCUCAGUAUUAUGAGAUUAUGUUUAAAAUCUGUUGGUGAAAUGGAUAAUUUUCAUUUACAUGGCAUAUACUUAUAGGUUUGACUUAUUUAAUUAUCAUAUUGUAAUACUUUCACUUCUGUGAGGUCACCGAUUAACCUAUGCUAAACAUAUGCAGAUGAUUACAUGUGUACCACAUAUCCGGUUGAGACAAGAGACAAGGUCUGUCACUCUUCCAUGGCGCCAAGCACUGGGUUGUGGGCCUACCGCGAGCCUCCUCCCUCGAGUGCCAUAACCAACGACAAGCGGCAGACAAGAACAUGGGCGUGCCACUAGGGAUAGGUAAUGGCGGCAGCGGUGGGGAGAAGGCGCUCGUCGUGGCUAGCGGCUGGAAGGCAUGGGACUGGGCAGUCCGGUCACCGGUAGUGGGGAGGCAAGGAAAGGAUUUUUGACCAAAGAGAAAUGGAGGGAGGUAGAAAGUGGGAAGGUCGAGAGUGGGGAGGCAGG